rnacentral:rRNA from 1 species
UACCUACGGGAGGCAGCAGUAGGGAAUUUUCGUCAAUGGGCGCAAGCCUGAACGAGCGAUGCCGCGUGAGUGAAGAAGGCCUUCGGGUCGUAAAGCUCUGUUGCGGGGGAAAAAAGGCAGCAUCAGGAAAUGGGUGCUGACUGAUGGUGCCCCGCCAGAAAGUCACGGCUAACUACGUGCCAGCAGCCGCGGUAAUACGUAGGGAGCGAGCGUUAUCCGGAUUUAUUGGGUGUAAAGGGUGCGUAGGCGGCUUCUUAAGUCUGUAGUCUAAGCCCGGAGCUUAACUCCGGUUCGCUACAGAAACU